rnacentral:lncRNA from 1 species
GGUCAAAACUAUAAUUUGGCAUUAAAAUUAGAAAGAUCAUAUCAUGGGGAACAUGUGUACUAAGUUUCAAAUUGAUUGGACUUCAACUUCAUCAAAAACUACCUCGACCAAAAACUUAAACCUGAAGCGGGACGAACGGAACGCACAGACGGACGAACGAACGAACGGAGGCACAGACCAGAAAACAUAAUGCCCCUCUUCUAUCGUAGGUGGGGCAUAAAAAGAUA